UUUGCUCCACAACACUAAACCUAAACCUUAAACCCUAAACAUAAAUCCUAAACCCAAAACCAUAAACCCUAAACCCUAAACCCUAAACCCUAAACUCUUAACACU
rnacentral:sRNA from 1 species